GAUGAACGCUGGCGGCGUGCCUAAUACAUGCAAGUCGAGCGAACGGACGAGGAGCUUGCUCCUCUGACGUUAGCGGCGGACGGGUGAGUAACACGUGGAUAACCUACCUAUAAGACUGGGAUAACUUCGGGAAACCGGAGCUAAUACCGGAUAAUAUAUUGAACCGCAUGGUUCAAUAGUGAAAGACGGUUUUGCUGUCACUUAUAGAUGGAUCCGCGCUGCAUUAGCUAGUUGGUAAGGUAACGGCUUACCAAGGCAACGAUGCAUAGCCGACCUGAGAGGGUGAUCGGCCACACUGGAACUGAGACACGGUCCAGACUCCUACGGGAGGCAGCAGUAGGGAAUCUUCCGCAAAGGGCGAAAGCCUGACGGAGCAACGCCGCGUGAGUGAUGAAGGUCUUCGGAUCGUAAAACUCUGUUAUUAGGGAAGAACAAAUGUGUAAGUAACUGUGCACGUCUUGACGGUACCUAAUCAGAAAGCCACGGCUAACUACGUG
rnacentral:rRNA from 1 species